GUUUGGUUAUGUUUUGCUUUAAUUCUUGCUCUAAACCCAAUCCUCUGCUUUAACAUAUUUUAAAUUAUCUAUUUAUGUGCGAAGUGAACUUUUCUGAACCAUGCUUAACCUUUAAAAUUAUGUUAUUCAAUAUUGCUCUUAUGAAUCAACUGCAAACAGAAUUCUGCAGUCAGAUUCUGAAAGCUUAUACUAUUGCUUUUUUCCUCAUUUUUGCUUUAGAACGUCUAGCGUUGUGGGAAAUGGUUUAAUAUUGACUACUAAUCCAAAUCGAUCUCUCUCAUCUUUCCGUUGUUUCCUAUGGUGUGAACCAUCUGCUCUAACUCAUCUUUCAAUGUAUGUAUGUCUACGAGGACGAUUUGGGGCUCAUAUGUUUGCUUUUUGCGUACCUUUUUCUGUUGCCCUGAUCUUAAUAUUAGCAUUUCUAGUGUGGGAAUUAGACAUGUGCAUUAAAGGCCUGGUCAACUUUUUAUUAGUUUAGCUUUGAGUUUAGCAGCUUGGACAUUUGGACUUUAGCUAUUCCCAAACAUGGCCCUAUUUGAUGGGAGACAAAUAUAAUGUUAUUAUUAAUUGGUGACUGUAUACCACAGCCAUUUAGUAGCUUUUUGAUAGAGGUUGUGCUCCUGAGUCUCCUACCUACAGCAGCGUUUUCUUCUUUAAAUAUAUUUGUUAAAAUAAUCUAAAAAAAACUCUAAAGGUACUAUUGGGCUGGGCUGGACACUAAUGGAAGCAUCCCAAGUCUACCCUGUAAAUUCCGAGCUGAGAAAAGGCUCAGGCCAGUUAUAUCAAAGACAAAAUUCCUUUGACCAAGCCCUACCUUUUCUCCAUGCAGGCCGAGUGGAUACCCAGACUCAGGGACAGGUCUAGUGGGAUUUCAUGUACUAACAAAAAAGCAUGAAGUGGUCUUUUUUUUCCAUUAGAAAAUAGCAAGAGGAUGGCAACUAGAGAUCAGUAUUCCACCAAUAAAUUUUCAUAUGAUUAAUAUAUGGUGUUGUUAGGUAAACUGGUAAUUGAUAGCUUGGUUAUCUUAUAGGGGUUUUAAAUUAGGCCUGUGAGAAAGUAACAAAUUGUUGGAGAGUAUUCUAAUAGGUCAAAGAUCUAGAAUCUUUUAAUGUAGUGAGCUUGGAUUUAAUUGAUUGUUACACAUGGUAGAAGGUUCAGAGAAGGCUUGUUACGUGAUCUAGCUAGGUGUUUUCUUGAUAUUGAUUCCACUGGAAAAAAUUUACAGCAGAUACUGUCGGUUUGUGAGUUGUGAAGUUUAUAUCAUGGCAAUUACUGCUUGUGAUCCUGGAUACAAACACACAAACAGUUUUUGGUGAACAUUGGACAUCCCUGGUUUAUAUAGGAUGCUCCAAUGGCAUGGACUAUGAGUAUAUUAGAUAGUAGUGUUGAGAGACUCUGUACAUAGUUUGAAUGGAAUAUGGUGAUUUUUUCUCUUCUUCUUCAUUCGGAUGUUCGCCCACCCCUGUC
rnacentral:misc_RNA from 1 species